AAGGUGUGCUUUUCUUGGUUUUAUUGCUGUCCCUUCAUUGUUUAAUACAAGUGGGCGAGACCAAACACUGUCACUGCUCUACGAGAUGUAAAUGCCACCGGGAUCUCAAGAACUUUGCAAAAGAGCAAGAAAAACGAAUGGAAAAAUAUAUUGAAGCAUCGGCAGAUGAGUAGUCCAUCCUGAACAAUGGUCGAAAAUUCUUAUUUCAUCAACGUAUACGAAAUGUCCAUGUGUCUUUUCUUUUAAAGAAAAUCUCGAAGUAUUAUCUUCUUACUAAUAAACAAUUCUCUAGCAUUA